rnacentral:rRNA from 1 species
GAUGAACGCUGGCGGCGUGCUUAACACAUGCAAGUCGAACGGUGAAGGCGGAGCUUGCUCUGCUGGAUCAGUGGCGAACGGGUGAGUAACACGUGAGCAAUCUGCCCCUGACUCUGGGAUAAGCGCUGGAAACGGCGUCUAAUACUGGAUACGAGCUGCGAAGGCAUCUUCAGCAGCUGGAAAGAACUUCGGUCAGGGAUGAGCUCGCGGCCUAUCAGCUUGUUGGUGAGGUAACGGCUCACCAAGGCGUCGACGGGUAGCCGGCCUGAGAGGGUGACCGGCCACACUGGGACUGAGACACGGCCCAGACUCCUACGGGAGGCAGCAGUGGGGAAUAUUGCACAAUGGGCGAAAGCCUGAUGCAGCAACGCCGCGUGAGGGACGACGGGCUUCGGGUUGUAAACCUCUUUUAGCAGGGAAGAAGCGAAAGUGACGGUACCUGCAGAAAAAGCGCCGGCUAACUACGUG